GGGAUUAGAACUAGAUUCCACUUGUUGAGAAUGGUUGAAGAGUUCUUGUUGUUGAGCGUCCAUUGUAACGAAGAAGAUGAAGAUUGAAGAAGAACUUGCGGAGAACUUGCAGAGAAGGGUUUAGGGUUUUAGAGUGAGUGAGAGUGAUAAGUGUGUGAAAUGUGAGAAAAAUGUUUAUAUACCUAAGUUCAAAACACAUGCAAAACGACAACACAUGCAAAACGACACAUAUACCAGCGUUAGCACAAAAAUCAAAAAA
rnacentral:lncRNA from 1 species